rnacentral:lncRNA from 1 species
AUCGAAAAUUACAUCAGGAAACAGAUUCUAAUCACCUCUACCGCCAAUCUCCACUCCACCUCCAAUCCCCAAACCUACGAAGCCUUCUCCAGCGCCGCUCUCCACCACCACUGCAACCACCUUUAAUCAACCGCCAAUCUCCAACAAUGCCCUAAUUACACCAUUAUCCUUUUUCACUCCACCGCCAAAUCCAAUCAAUUACAGUGCCCUAAUUGACACUGAUGAUGAAACUUCAUGACUUGAUGAUACUUGGCAGAUCUCAAGAUGGUGAAUGAAUAAGUAUUAAUUAGUUCUUAAUUACAGCGGCGGCGCAGGGACAAGGUCGUCGAUCGUCGAUGGAGGUGUGGAUAUUGGUGACAGAGAUCACCGGUGGGGGAAGAGGGGAGGAGAUGCGUGAGUGAGGGUUCCGUGGUGGUGGUUGUCACGGCUUGCCUCGGUGGUGGAGAUGGUGCGGCGCUACCUCGACCAGCUUAGAGGCGGCGGCGACGAUUCGCCGGAGAUGGUGUGGCAGGCAGCUGAUUUCUGACGCUGAGAGAGAGAGAGAUGGAGCAGAUCUCGAUUUGUCGAUCGCUGAGCGGAGGAGCUUGUGGUGGCGCGGAUUUCCGACGUCGAGAGAGAUGGUGGAGGCAGCGGCGGUAGCGACGGAGGAUGCUACGAGGGAGAGGUGGUGGCGGUAGUGAGAUAGAGAGAGAGAGACGUGAAUAAAGAGAGAGAGAGGAGAGAGAGAUUGAAGUGAGUGGAUAUUUUUUAUUAUUUUAAAGUGAGGGUUAUUUCUGUCUUUUGAAUCAAAAAGUGAAUAGUUGUUAUUAUUUUUAUUUUAGUGGACAAUUUUUAUCUUUGCAAUAUGAAAGUGGAUAGUUUUAUAUAUUAACUCUUUAAUAUUUUGUACUUUUUGUGUAAAUGGUGAACUAUGUAAAUACAUUUGAUAUGCAAGCAAGAAAGAAUAUGCAAAUAAAUAAAUACAUACUAAUGAAAAGAAACACGCACCAUAUAUGUAUAUAAACAAUAUUAUCAUUGUUCUCUAAAAAAAAAGAAUCAAUAUUAUCAUUGUUUUAUAAUACACACGCAGACAAGCGCGCGCACACACACAUAUAUAGUUAGGUUUCAUGGAAAAAUUAAAUAUUUUGUGAAAUUUAGAAUCAUUGAAUAAAUCAAUAAUUUUGAUUAAUAACUUAAUAAUUUUGAUGAACAAACAUUUUGCUUUGGGGUUCGAAUUUUGAAGUGACAAGAUUUUCAACAUAUUAAAUAAAAUAUGUAUGCUCAUUUAAAUUAUUGACUUGUUCAUCAAAAUUAUUGAUCUGUUCAACGUUUCGCAAAUUCGUAAAAUAUAUAAAGGAAUAAAAAUAAAUAUAGAUCGUAGGAUCAAUCAAUACCAAUGACCGAGAUUUCUUCUCAAUUCUCUAAAUAUUUGUAGUUCUCUACGGACCCUUUCCCUAUAUAUAUCCUCUAUUGUAAUAUUAACACUAUUAAAUUAUAAAUUGAAAGGAAUAUAACUAGGAUAAUAAUGUAUUCUAAUAUCAUACAAUAUAUUAUAAAAUUGAAAUGAAUAUAACUAAGAUAAUAAUGUAUAGUAAUAUCAUUAUUUUAUAAAAAUAUACAUAUAGUGCAUAAAAUAUAAGGUACUACAUUAGUUGUAAAUAAAGAAUAAAAAAAUAUUUCCCCCAUCCCCUAAAUAACUUCAUAUCUUUCCUUUUUGGGUUGUCCCUCAAAUAAUUUCCUAUCCAUUUUAGGACACACUAACUCGCCACUGAUCAUUAUUUUAUUAGCGAUAAAAUUGUAACUAGAACAGUGUAGCAAACAGAGUAUCAUAUCCACGAAUACUGAUAUAACGAAUCACUUUAAAUAAUCCUAAGAAAACUCUAGUAAUAUUCAUGCAAAGCUAACAGAUAAAAGGUUUUAAUUAAAUCUAUUCUUAAAACACAACAAAUAAAAUUCAGAUGUAAAAUCAAAUGAUAAAACGGCUGAUCCUAGGGAAGUAAAUUCAUUAUAUUAACCAAAUUCACGUAAUCAACCUAUAAUCCUAUUUACCAGUUUAAUCCAGCUAUGAUCAGAGAUCGCACAUUUAAUCAAUUUCUCUCGCUAGAGCAGCAAUGACGGUAGAUUAGUAAAUUAUCUAUCUCCGUUAGGUCUCAAGAAAAUCUACUAACUCCCGAAAGCUCCUAGGAAUAGCUCCCUAUGAUCCACCUAUCUCCGUUAGGUCUCAAGGUUAAAAUCAUAUCAUACAUUCCUGAAUCUACUAAACAGUUUUCUCCGCUACGUCUCAAAUCGAAUAGCUACACAUGCAAAUUAUUGAUCAAGUAAUUCGCAAGAAUUCAUGCACCAGAAAUUAUGAAUCAUAAACUGGAAGGCAAAAAGGUAUUAACAAAUUAAUCACAUGAAUUCAACUAACUAUUUACAAACCCUACAAUCAGAUAAAGAACUUAGCCAGACAUAGCAAAAUAAAUUAAAAGCAUAAUAAAUAAGAAAGCAAUUGUAAAAACUGAAUUAUAUAAAACCCAGAACGAAUGUUGAAUGACAAUCUUGAAUCUUCAAUUCUUGCACAAAUCCAAUUCAAGUUCUAAAAUCUAGAAAGCAAUGAAAACCUAAAACUAUGAAACUGAGAAAUAAAGUCUGGACCCCUAAAUAGGUCAAUAAUGAGCUCUAUUUAUAGUGUUGGGAACUUAAUGAAAUAUCAUAUCCCUAGUUUUGAUGAUACCAAAACUCUUAGAUCUUCUUGUAAUAGACUAGAAGCGUUCGAACUCAAGUGUUAGAGUUCAUGUUUUCUAGUUAGACUGCAGUUUUGAAGACUGAAGACCGGAGGACUGAAGACUGAAGACUGAAAACUGAAGAUAGCUGUGAAAAGACAAAGUCAUAUACUGAUGAAUUGACUGAACGAGAAUCUCACUGAAGUAUCAGUUAUGACUGAAGUUUAAAUGCUGGCCACGUGGAAUUAGCUGACUGAUACUCAAGUCAAGUAUCAGUAGACAUUCUUCCUCGGACUGAAACUCUUAAGUUAAACGGAAGCCACGUACUGUCAAGUAUAGCCGCAUUAAAUGCAUAGAUAUUGAAGAUCGUCCUUUCUCUGCAGAGGCAUUCCUUUUUGGUGCAAGCUUUUCAGAUGUCCCUUACCUGUUGUACCUGAAACGUCGUUCUUCACCAAAUAAGGAACCUCGAAUAUUGUAGCAUCAGCCAAAAUUCAAAUCUCUCUCACAACGGACGAAUUCUUGAAGACCAUCUCAGCUAACGGAUCUAUUCAAGACUUCGCCUAUAAAUAGAGCUCGAGGAACACCACAAUCUUCACCGAUUCAAACGCACAAGCUAAACCUCUGCCGAAAUUGCAACUCAGUCUUUCACUACCUUCAAAAGUUUGAAUCGAAGAAGAGAACUCCCAAGGCCAAAAUCAGUUUAUUGAUUUCAUACAUUCUCUUAGUUUCUUAGGUAAAUACUUUGUAAAAUCCAAAGUCUGAGCUUCCGAUUACAGAGAGCCUGUUCUCCGUAAUCUAGUUGGUAUUUCGACCCUUUUUCAACCGAGCGAAAAGAUAGUUUGAGAAGAGAGGAGUUCAGACCAAUGUUCUGACUCAGAGAUCUUAGCCAAGCGCUGCAAAGGCAUUGUUGUCUUAGCGUGCUAAGAGAAGAGCGAGAAAUCCAACCCAGUGUGUUGGUACUGAAAAUUGUAUUUUUAGUCUAAGGUUUGUUGUGUACCCGUAAGCACAAGCCCAGAGUGUUUGUCAAUUUGAUCAACCGACUGUGGAUGUAGAACUUGUUUCAAACCACGUUAAAAAUCCUUGUGUUCUUUAUCUGCUUUCAGUUAUUCUUUAUCUGUGCUAAAAUUGCUUUACAACUGAACUUGCUUAACUGAAAAGAGAAACUAAGGAUUUUAUUAAGUGACAAACCUUUUAAAGGCUAUUUGAACUAAGUUUAAUUUUCCGCUACUAGUGUUAUUAGUCUAACUGAUAAAUCUCAGAUAAUCAGUAAGAUUCAUAACACUCCUCUUUUACAAAUUCUAGACUGAAGCCUUACGUGGAUAUCAGUUAAAGCUCUGAGCCGAACUGAAAUCAAAACUACUAAAGUUACUUCAGUACCAGUCUACAACCACUUUACAACUGAAGUUUAUUUAACUGCUCACAUCAGUCGACCUUUUCAGUAUCAGUCGACACUCUUCAGUUAUUUGUAAAAGUUUAGUUGGUUUUGUUAAAAAAUAGCCUACAGGUGUAUUCCCUCCCCCCCCUCUCAUACACCCGUUCAGUGACCCUCCGGGACCCAACAUAUAAUCUCAGGAAAAAACCCAAUACAAAACUUGAAAAUAACUGAUAAAAACGUAAAAUACUGAAAAACAUGGAGAUAAGGCGACCGUCGAUCAGGUUGCUGUUUUCGUGCAUAAAAAAUGCCCAAAUCGACGCCCGCCGUUUAUUAGCUUCCAAGCACAAAAUCCGUCCAGAGAUUUUGGCGGUCAACUCGGUGGGCACCGUUUUGACCGCCGUUUUUCUUCAUUAAAAUGCCCAAAAUCGGCGACCUAGGCCAAUGGUCGCUGUUUCUGCACUACUGCGCGCGAUAUUUUUGUUUCAGCUAUAUCUUCCUCUUGCGAACUUCGAUUUGCAAUCAUUUUGCGCUCACGAACUCCUCUCAAGAAUAACUACAACUUCUAUUUCAGAGUAUUUUUCAAAAUUCGAUCUCAAGAUUCCUGUAAAAUCCAUCAAAGUUCGAGCAAGUACUCCCUCCGUCCGCCAAAAGUAGACUACUUUGGUUGGGCACGGGAUUUAAUAAAAUUGGUGAUGAUAUUGAUGUAGUGGAGAAAGGGUCCCACCACUUUAUUAGAUGUGGUGAAUUUUUUAGUAUCUUUGUAAAUUUGAAUUGUACGAAUCUCAGGACUACAAUUCAUAGGAAUUUACUUGCGGACCCAAAUUCCGUAAAAUCUAUUGGCGGACGGAGGGAGUAUCAUAUUUCACAAGAUAAAGCAAUAUAAGUACAAAACAAGUAUCCAACACUCAAUUCCCUAUAAAAUUGAUAUCAUACGAACACUAAAAACCAUAGAAAUAUGAGUGUUAUCAAUCACUAAUAAUAUUCAUUUAUUCUUACUUUUCAUCACUCUCAACACUAAUUAUAACACAUUUUUACCAUUUUUCAAUACUAAUUAUAACAUUUUUUUCAUCACUUUUAAUACACUCAACAACUUUGUCUUAAAACUCGUGUCCCUCCCUCUUAUAAAGUUAUUUGUGGGACUCAGAGAGUAAUAGAAAUUGAUAUAAUGUUGUUAAUGGUAUCUCAUAUUAACAAGAUUGUUUAAUUAUUUCAAAGAGCUAUAGUAUAGUGCAAUAUUUUUUAAACAGUUAGUGAAAUUGGACAUAAAGAUUAGAAAGAAAGAAAAAAGAAAAAAAAAAGAAAAAUAGUCCAUAUAAUGGUGAGAAUAGUGUCAAACAUUAAUCAUGUUGUUCGAUUGUUUCAUAAAACUAUAGUAUAAUGUAAAAAAUGUGUAAGGUAUCAGUGAAUUGAAAUAAAGUAUUAUAAAGUUAAAAAAAAUAUCUCUACUGUGAGAAUGAUGUCCCAAAUUUAUCAUAUUGUUCGAUUAUUUUUUAAGGUUAUGUUAUAAAAAAUUAGAAUAUAUUAGUAAAAUUAAAAUAAAUUAAUUAAUAACUAAAAGAAAUUAAGAGGUAAUAUAUGAAAUUGGCCACUUUCAUAUAGUAAAUUUAAAAAUUAACCUAUCAAAUAAAAACUUUAAAAAUUGGCCACUUUUUAUGUAGAAAUACAAAAUUGCCUCUAACAUUAAAAUUAAAAAGAUUGACCACUAUCUUCUCUCUGUCUCGUCCACCAUUGAUGCGCUCAUCUCCACAGAACGAGCUGCACUGGAGCAGGGGGAGAUGU